GCAGAAGUUCUAUUAAUUAGAACCUCCUAAAUCCACUUAAAUUUUACUUUUAUUAAACACAUUGAUAGCAGAGAAAUUAUGGAGAAACAACAGAGAAAGUUAGUCAAUUAGAUAUUACUCUUCACUGAUAUUCAGAUGGAGAGUAAGGUAAAAUAUCUCUCUGGGCAUAAUGAAAUUCAUCGGGAAUAUAUGACAAAAUGUUCAGAUAUGUUUUUGGUACAGCUUUCAGGAACGUAUCAUUCAUAUAACUAGUAAACAUCUGGUAGAUAAUUUUUAUCUUCAUUAAGAUUUAACUGUGUUGAGGACUCUCUAAAAUAAUCAGAAUUUUUAUAUUAAAUAACAGUAUUAAUUGAUGUUAUCCAAUCAUUUAUUCUAGAGAUUAUGAAAUAGUAUAAACUAUACUUAAACUUUCUUUGAAAUUCUGAUCUUUUUUGCAGAAUUUAUCAUGUUGAUGAUACCCCUUCUGGAUCAAUGGAUGGUGUGCUUGAUUAUAGUAAAACCAUUCAAGGCACAAGGGAUCCAAUUUGUGCCAUAACUGCAUCAGAUAAGAUAU
rnacentral:sRNA from 1 species